AGUGGUGGCCUUGGCAGUGCUGGGGAUGAGCGGUUGGAGUCGAUGGCCUCUCUCUUUUCCAACUCAAACGAUUCCACGGCUCUGCUCCCUCCGCGGGCGGCUGCGCCAGCACCGCUGCAAAGGGCCGCGCUCGGAGCCCGAGGGCCUCGCCUGUGUCUCCAACAUGUCCCGAGAGACUGAAAGUGAAGUACAGCAGACUCAAGGUGCCCAGUCGUCACAGAGUUCCUCUUCCAGUGGGUCACAGAGUACUAGUCAGUCUUCCUCAAGUUCUGGGACCCUCAGUUCUUUGGACACCCUUCCGACUCAGGAGCUUCCGUCGAUCCCUGAGGAACCUGAAGAGGUGGUUCCUCAGCCGUGGGGUCGACUCUUUGCACUUGCAAAAGGUUUCAGCAACUGUGACUGUGUGAAUGAGGAAUACUGGUUUGGGAGAGACAAAAGCUGUGAUUACAGUUUUUCUAAGCUACGGUUGUACGAGACUGGCUUCUAUGAAAACUAUAGCAAGAAGCACUUCCGAAUUUUCAGGGAAAUGGGUCCAAAAAAUUCCUAUGUUGCCUACAUUGAAGAUCAUAGUGCAAAUGGAACAUUUGUGAAUAGAGAACUUGUUGGAAAAGGGAAGAGGCUUCCACUGAUUCACAACUCUGAAAUUGCACUGUCUCUACAGACCAAUAAGGUGUUUGUAUUUUCUGAUCUUACGGUGGAUGAUCAGAUGAUGUUUCCUAGAGAAUUGAGAGAGAAAUAUAUCAUGUCAAAGACUUUGGGAAGUGGUGCCUGUGGAGAAGUCAAACUGGCCUUUGAGAAGGGCACUUGUAACAAAGUUGCAGUGAAGAUCAUCAAUAAACGGAAGUUUGCGGCAAGCGGCCCGAGAGAGGCAAACCCAGCUUUUAAUAUCGAUACAGAAAUUGAAAUUUUGAAGAAAAUAGAUCACCCUUGCUUAAUCAAGAUCAAAAACUUUUUUGAAGCAGAGGAUUACUACAUUGUUUUGGAACUGAUGGAAGGAGGAGAACUGUAUGACAGAGUGUCAAGGCCAAUCAAGAUGAAAGAAGCUACAUGCAAGUUGUAUUUUUAUCAGAUGCUGCUGGCAGUAAAGUAUCUUCACGACAAUGGAAUUAUACACCGAGAUCUAAAGCCAGAAAAUGUGUUACUUUCCUCUUCUGAAGAAAUAUGUCUUAUAAAGAUUACAGAUUUUGGACAAUCCAAGAUUCUUGGAGAAGCUUCUCUUAUGAAAACAUUAUGUGGUACCCCCAUGUAUCUUGCUCCUGAGGUUCUAAAUUCACUUGGGACUGCUGGAUACAGCCGAGCUGUGGACUGCUGGAGUUUAGGAGUUAUUCUUUUUGUAUGCUUGUGUGGAUAUCCACCAUUCAGUGAGCAAAAUCCUAAACUCUCUCUGGAAGAUCAAAUCACUCGUGGAGAAUACACAUUCAUUGCAAGAGAAUGGAAGCAUGUGUCAGACAUGGCUGAUCUGCAGACUUUGCCUUGCCUAAAGAUUCUUCAAGUGUUGAGCCAAAAAUGCCAGGAAUUUAAGGAAUAUGAGUUAGAACUCCAAAAGACAAAUGUUCCAAGAGAGUCAUUUCAUGGUGCUAGACUUCCAGCUGAAAGUGUCAGUCACAUUUGUGGAAUCAGCUAUUAUGUUUGGCCCACUAUAAGCUAAGUAGUCUGCAAAAUGGAGUUUCUGCAUAGUAAACUGCAAUGAUAGCUAUUGUUUGCAUGCUUUUAUUUUUUUCAGGACAUUUUAUAUGCACAAAAUAAUUGUAGUAUUUGCCUUGGAUACUCCUUUGUAUGUGCAGAGAAGUUUCUAAUAAAUGAUGCUGUCAUUCUUUGCCUAAUAAACUUACCAAGUAUAACUCCUUCCUGAAUAAUUUGAAGCUUAUUCAAUAAUAAGUCAGACAUGUAUGAGAACAGAACUUAUGUUAAGGUUGUACAUAGUCCUACCGGUAUGUAUUUAGAAUAAUCAGAUACAAUGAAAAGUAAAUCGUGCCAAAAUUCCCUUAUGGGAGACUUGUAAUAAUAAAAUAUGACAUAAAUGUCAUAUUUUCAGUGUGUCUAGUAAGCAGCUUCCUAAGAAAAUGAAAGUUUGAGAUUAUGUUGAGCAUACGUGUGUCUGUCUCUUCUUUCUCACCUUCCCAGAUGGACAAUCUGCUUUCCAAGACACAGUAAACCAGGAAAUUAAAUUAAGCUGUCUUUGCUUUUCCACAGUAAUACUGAAGCUUUUAGGAAAGUGCUCAGAACAUAAAUUGGGAACAUGCUUAGUAUAUCUACUGGUAAUUUUGAUAUAUUGAAAAGUGUUGUGUCAUGUGCAUGUGAAGGAAAGAUGGUUGCAGUCUGCAGCCCUCCCUGUGCACAGAAAAAAGAAAAGUGAUCUGCCCAGCCUGUAUUUUUGGGCAUUGUUCUGAAAGGGUAUCAGACACAUUCUUGCACGGAGCUUUUUGUAGGCAUAUUUCAGGUAAUGAAUGUAUUGAUCCUAUGUCAACCAGAUCUCUUAAUUGUUUCAGCUCUGGAUCUUGUGAAGAAGCUGUUAGUAGUGGAUCCAAGCAGACGUCUUACCACAGAGGAAGCCUUAAAGCAUCCUUGGCUUCAGGAUGAGGAUAUGAAGAGUACAUUUCGACAGCUACUUGCU